rnacentral:rRNA from 1 species
GACGUAGGGCGCGAGCGUUGUCCGGAUUUAUUGGGCGUAAAGAGCUCGUAGGCGGCUUGUCGCGUCGUUCGUGAAAACUCACAGCCCAACUGUGAGCUUGCGGUCGAUACGGGCAGGCUAGAGUUCGGUAGGGGAGACUGGAAUUCCUGGUGUAGCGGUGAAAUGCGCAGAUAUCAGGAGGAACACCGGUGGCGAAGGCGGGUCUCUGGGCCGAUACUGACGCUGAGGAGCGAAAGCGUGGGGAGCGAACAGG